rnacentral:rRNA from 1 species
UGCCACAGCCAUAUCACCCUGCAGCCCAAGAUCGGUUACUCACUAAAGCUAAGCAGGGCUGAGCCUGGUCAGUACCUGGGAGGGAGACCACAUGGAAAAACUAGGUUGCUGUUGGAA